rnacentral:rRNA from 1 species
UAUCUCUGUAGAGUCUGCAUAUCAAUAAGCGGAGGAAAAGAAACUAACUAGGAUUCCCUCAGUAACGGCGAGUGAAGCGGGAAGAGCUCAAAUUUGAAAUCUUCAAGGGUUCUACCUUUACGAAUUGUAGUUUAAAGAAGUGUUUUCUGUUGAGGUUUUGGUAAAAGUUCUUUGGAAUAGGACAUCAUAGAGGGUGAGAAUCCCGUAUUUGACCAUUACUUUCCAGCUUUGUGAUACACUUUCAAAGAGUCGGAUUGUUUGGGAAUGCAGUCCAAAAUGGGUGGUAAAUUGCAUCUAAAGCUAAAUAUUGGCGAGAGACCGAUAGCGAACAAGUACCGUGAGGGAAAGAUGAAAAGAACUUUGAAAAGAGAGUUAAACAGUACGUGAAAUUGUCAAAAGGGAAGCGUUUGACACCAGUGUUGUUUUCUCGAAAAUCAAUUAAAAAAAGUUGGAUUUUGUAUUGUUAAGACCUUAUCAGCUUACUGUACUCUUUUCUUGCUUUUUUUAAUGCACUUUUCGUUUAACAAGUCAACAUCAAUUUCUUUUGUUGUAAAAGAGUCAUUGGAAGGUGGCUUUCACUUCGGUGAAAGUGUUUAUAGCCUUUGGCUUCUGCAAUCGGAGAGAUUGAGGUCUGCAGCGUAGAUCCUUCGGGGCUAGAUACGUAGAUGCUAAGUUAUAGUUUUUUAUAGACAACUUGUUGACUAUAAUUAAUCAUGUAGCUUACUCGUUUGCGCUAUUUUACCUACGCUUAGGAUGUUGACGAUCAGCUGAGCGCG